GAUGAACGCUGGCGGCGUGCCUAAUACAUGCAAGUCGAGCGAACGGACGAGAAGCUUGCUUUUCUGAUGUUAGCGGCGGACGGGUGAGUAACACGUGGAUAACCUACCUAUAAGACUGGGAUAACUUCGGGAAACCGGAGCUAAUACCGGAUAAUAUUUUGAACCGCAUGGUUCAAAAGUGAAAGACGGUCUUGCUGUCACUUAUAGAUGGAUCCGCGCUGCAUUAGCUAGUUGGUAAGGUAACGGCUUACCAAGGCAACGAUGCAUAGCCGACCUGAGGGGGUGAUCGGCCACACUGGAACUGAGACACGGUCCAGGCUCCUACGGGAGGCAGCAGUAGGGAAUCUUCCGCAAUGGGCGAAAGCCUGACGGAGCAACGCCGCGUGAGUGAUGAAGGUCUUCGGAUCGUAAAACUCUGUUAUUAGGGAAGAACAUAUGUGUAAGUAACUGUGCACAUCUUGACGGUACCUAAUCAGAAAGCCACGGCUAACUACGUG
rnacentral:rRNA from 1 species